GAUGAACGCUGGCGGCGUGCCUAAUACAUGCAAGUCGAGCGAACAGACGAGGAGCUUGCUCCUCUGACGUUAGCGGCGGACGGGUGAGUAACACGUGGAUAACCUACCUAUAAGACUGGGAUAACUUCGGGAAACCGGAGCUAAUACCGGAUAAUAUAUUGAACCGCAUGGUUCAAUAGUGAAAGACGGUUUUGCUGUCACUUAUAGAUGGAUCCGCGCCGCAUUAGCUAGUUGGUAAGGUAACGGCUUACCAAGGCAACGAUGCGUAGCCGACCUGAGAGGGUGAUCGGCCACACUGGAACUGAGACACGGUCCAGACUCCUACGGGAGGCAGCAGGAGGGAAUCUUCCGCAAUGGGCGAAAGCCUGACGGAGCAACGCCGCGUGAGUGAUGAAGGUCUUCGGAUCGUAAAACUCUGUUAUUAGGGAAGAACAAAUGUGUAAGUAACUAUGCACGUCUGGACGGUACCUAAUCAGAAAGCCACGGCUAACUACGU
rnacentral:rRNA from 1 species